rfam:Neotoma lepida isolate 417 scaffold_1433, whole genome shotgun sequence.
ACAACGGCUCUUUUCAGAGCCACCCACCUUCUCAAAGAGGGAGCUG